AGAAACCACUCUAGUUGAAUAGGGGAUUAAGGUGUUAGGGAAGAAACCACUCUAGUUGAAUAGGGGACUAAGGUGUUAGGGAAGAAACCACUCUAGUUGAAUAGGGGACUAAGUUGUUAGGGAAGAAAACACUCUAGUUGAAUAAGGGACUAAGGUGUUAGGGAAGAAACCACUCUAGUUGAAUAAGGGACAAGGUGUUAGGGCAGAAACCACUCGUUGAAUAGGGGACUAAGGUGUUAGAGCAGAAACCACUCGUUGAAUAGGGGACAACGGUGUUAGGGAACAAACCACUCUAGUUGAAUAGGGGGCUAAGUUGUUAGGGAAGAAACCACUCUAGUUGAAUAGGGGACUAAGUUGUUAGGGCAGAAACCACUCGUUGAAUAGGGGACUAAGGUGUUAGGGAAGAAACCACUCUAGUUGAAUAGGGGACUAAGGUGUUAGGGCAGAAACCACUCUAGUUGAAUAGGGGACUAAGGUGUUAGGGCAGAAACCACUCUAGUUGAAUAGGGGACUAAGGUGUUAGGGCAGAAACCACUCUAGUUGAAUAGGGGACUAAGUUGUUAGAGCAGAAGUCACUGUUCUAGUAUCCUUUGCACAGUGAUGUAAUGUUUAAUAGCAUAAGAACAGCAAAUGAAGACGUACACUGAAGAAGACUGCAGUCAAUGUAUACUGUUCACUGAAGAAGGCUGCAGUCAAUGUAUACUGUUCACUGAAGAAGGCUGCAGUCAAUGUAUACUGUACACUGAAGAAGGCUGCAGUCAAUGUAUACUGUUCACUGAAGAAGGCUGCAGUUAAUGUAUACUGUUCACUGAAGAAGGCUGCAGUCAAUGUAUACUGUUCACUGAAGAAGACUGCAGUCAAUGUAUA
rnacentral:lncRNA from 1 species